rnacentral:rRNA from 1 species
GAUGAACGCUGGCGGUGUGCUUAACACAUGCAAGUCGAACGAUGAAGCCCAGCUUGCUGGGUGGAUUAGUGGCGAGCGGGUGAGUAACACGUGAGUAACAUGCCCUUGACUCUGGGAUAAGCCUGGGAAACUGGGUCUAAUACUGGAUAUGACUUCUCAUCGCAUGGUGGGGGGUGGAAAGAUUUAUUGGUCUUGGAUGGACUCGCGGCCUAUCAGCUUGUUGGUGAGGUAAUGGCUCACCAAGGCGACGACGGGUAGCCGGCCUGAGAGGGUGACCGGCCACACUGGGACUGAGACACGGCCCAGACUCCUACGGGAGGCAGCAGUGGGGAAUAUUGCACAAUGGGCGCAAGCCUGAUGCAGCGACGCCGCGUGAGGGAUGACGGCCUUCGGGUUGUAAACCUCUUUCAGUAGGGAAGAAGCGAGAGUGACGGUACCUGCAGAAGAAGCGCCGGCUAACCACGUG